rnacentral:lncRNA from 1 species
CGACAAUUCUACUCUUACAAGACAGCACAUACUUGCUGCAACUUCCACUGAUUUAUAUCAAACCUUUGCUGCCAUCUACCACAGAUCCAAAACUUUCAUCCACAGCCCUAAAACGCCACUAAACCACACCCUCAAACUGCAUCCAAAACAGCCACAAAACAAGCCUAAAUCGUAGCCUACAUCCACCGAUCCACCAACCCUUUCGACCACACUUCUCUCAACCUAUACAUGCCUUUAACCUAA